GCUGGGCGUGGUGGCACGUGCCUGUAAUCCCAGCUACUCAGGAGGCUGAGGCAGGAGAAUCGCUUGAACCCAGGAGGUGGAGUUUGCAGUAGCCAAGAUUGCACCACUGCACUCCAGCCUGGGUGACAAAGUGAGACUCUGUCUCAA
rnacentral:SRP_RNA from 1 species